rnacentral:rRNA from 1 species
UGAAACUCAAAGGAAUUGACGGGGGCCCGCACAAGCGGUGGAGCAUGUGGUUUAAUUCGACGCUACGCGAAGAACCUUACCUGGGCUUGACAUGACAGUAGUAGGGAACCGAAAGGGGACCGAUUCGUAGCAAUACGAAAGCUGCCACAGGUGCUGCAUGGCUGUCGUCAGCUCGUGUCGUGAGAUGUUGGGUUAAGUCCCGCAACGAGCGCAACCCUUAUCCUCUGUUACUCCGUAAGGAGGUCUCUGAGGAAACUGCCGGCGAUGAGCUGGAGGAAGGUGGGGAUGACGUCAAGUCCUCAUGGCCCUUAUGUCCAGGGCUACACACGUGCUACAAUGGAUGCUACAGAGGGAAGCAAGACCGCGAGGUGGAGCCAACCCCUAAAAGCAUUCGUAGUUGGGAUCGGAGUCUGCAACUCGACUCCGUGAACUUGGAAUCGCUAGUAAUCGUGGAUCAGCUACGCCACGGUGAAUACGUUCCCGGGCCUUGUACACACCGCCCGUCACACCACGAAAGUCUGCUGUACCCGAAGCUGGUGAGCUAACCCGCAAGGGAGGCAGCCGUCUAAGGUAUGGUCGGUAAUUGGGGUGAAGUCGUAACAAGGUAGCCGUAGGGGAACCUGCGGUUGGAUCACCUCCUUUCUAAGG